GACCAAAAUUCCUGUAUCCUGAAAUAUUGUCCAAUGGUGAUAUGUUUUCUUUUCCGGGAGUUGUAUUUUUUAUCACUGAUUGUCUACAAUUGACAGUGCAUGUCAAAAAGCAGACUUGUCGUGCUGCAGUGGCUCACGCCUAGAUGCUUAUUUGCACCUUGGACUUUGUCAGGACACUCUGGUUACAGCACAACUUUGUGAACAUGGAUCACAAGAUACUUGGAAAAGCAGUGUUUGCAUUAAUCAGAUUAGGAUUAGCUAAAAUUUUAAUUAAAGAACCAGAGAGUACUUCAGAGGCAAGGAGAUGAUAGUUACCUGGGAUUACUUGCUCAUCUCCAGAUGAAGAAAACUGAAUGUAAAGUUAAAUAUCUCCUUAACUUUUACUCUAUUUAAAAAGAGACUGAAUUAUUUGUGAGGUAACCCAGUUGUAGCUGUUCUACUCUUCUCUACUGCUAGAUUUUGGAAGUGUUUUUUUCUUGGUGAUAUCUUGAUCUUAGCAUUUUACUCUCUCUUCCUGGUUUCUAGCUUGACCUUUGUAUUUUAGAGGAGAGUAAUAGAGUAACAGUGCACUGAGAAGCAAUGGGACAUGACAGAAUAGUUUCAGCAGUGAAAGUCAGGGAAGCUGGUUUCAACCAUUCAUUCACAAGCUUAAAGGACUUUGGUAUCUGACUUUGUGGAUGCCACUUUCUCAUCUGUAAAAUAAGGGGGUUGGAUCGUGUGAUUUAUAAGGGGCUUUCUUACUUUCUAACAUUCCAUAUUCUAUAAAGACAGUUAAAGUCUCCAGAGAGUAAAGAAUGUAGCAGGCCUAAUCCCUAAUCCACUUGGUGACCUUCUGCAAAACACCUUUCUGUUAGCCUUUUCACCCGUGAAUUUUUUUUUUUUUUUGAGACGGAGUUUCGCUUUGGUUAGCCAGACUGGAGUACAAUGGUGCGAUCUCAGCUCACUGCAACCUUCGCCUUGGUGGCUUGGCUCAUGCCUAUCAUCCCAGCACUUUGGGAGGCUGAGGCGAGUGGAUCACCUGAGGCCAGUAGCUUGAGACCAGCCUGGCCAACCAGCUCAGUAGCUAAGCAUAGAGUAAUGAGUUUGUUAAAUAAUUUCAAUUACAUUGUUUUUGAGAUUCCAGGGUCACAGGGAAAUUCUGACCUGAAUUAUCUGGAUGAACUCUCACAAUUGUGCACUGCCUUGUUCAAAUUUGGGAAGUGCUGAGAAGCACUCAUCCAAGGGGUAGAUCUGGACUUCAGCUCAUGCAGCAUAAUAGAAUUUCAGGCUCAGUGAUUUCUAAUCUGUUACCACUUGCCAUUUUCUACUUGAAGAGGGCAGACACCUUCACUGAUCUCUGUUUCUAUUUCAUCUUUUGAAAAAUCGGGAUGAUAAUGGUUAUCUGGUUUACAUGCUUUUACAUGCUUGUCAGGAGUUAUUUUAAAGCACUUUACAAAUAUAAAAAUGUACAAUAAAAUUGCAGAGUCGGAUGCAGCAACCCCUGUAUCCUUUGAGGAAUCUAUCACAAUUCAUACCCCUCCCAAGCCAACUUUUCUGGUACUACUCUGGAAAAUUGUGCUUAUACAGUUAAAAUUUUUAUUUUCAAAAAGUUGUGUAAUUCCCUUUUUCAACCAUUUUUUUUUGUUAUAAGAAAUGCAAUUAAAAACAUACUUUUCUUUCCAAAUAGAAGAGCCUAUUCUGCCUUA
rnacentral:lncRNA from 1 species